rnacentral:rRNA from 1 species
UACGUAGGGGGCUAGCGUUGUCCGGAAUCAUUGGGCGUAAAGCGCGUGUAGGCGGCCCGGUAAGUCCGCUGUGAAAGUCCAGGGCUCAACCCUGGGAUGCCGGUGGAUACUGUCGGGCUCGAGUCCGGAAGAGGCGAGUGGAAUUCCUGGUGUAGCGGUGAAAUGCGCAGAUAUCAGGAGGAACACCAAUGGCGAAGGCAGCUCGCUGGGACGGUACUGACGCUGAGACGCGAAAGCGUGGGGAGCAAACAGG